rnacentral:rRNA from 1 species
UACGUAGGAGGCAAGCGUUGUCCGGAAUUACUGGGCGUAAAGCGCGUGUAGGUGGUGGGACAAGUCUGCUGUGAAAGCGCCUGGCUUAACCGGGCGAGGUCGGCGGAAACUGUUCGACUCGAGGACGGUAGAGGGGGGGUGGAAUUCCCGGUGUAGUGGUGAAAUGCGUAGAGAUCGGGAGGAACACCAGUGGCGAAGGCGGCCCUCUGGGCCGGGCCUGACGCUGAGACGCGAGGGCGUGGGGAGCGAACGGG